AUGAACAGCUAUGCACUGCACAACCCUAGGAGAGUGUGCCAUUCACAUAGACUAUAAUUGAAUGGCGCCACUAGGGUUGUGCAGUGCACAACCUACAC
ensembl:miRNA